UCUGACAUGGUGUAAUGGGUAACACGCGUGCCUUCAUCGCGCGGGCUCGGGGUUCGAAUCCCAGUGUCGGAA